AGGCGGUGGCACACGGAUUCAGUUUUCAGGAUCUCACCCUUUUGAGGGUGGGUGGUGUGCUGCCUAUCUGUGGGGAUAUCGUGAGUGGUAAGUGCUGCGGAUUUAAGUGGAGGAGCCUGACUGUACCUGUCUCACAGUGUAUUACAUAGUGCCAUAAUUCUGUUGCCUGUCUUGUUAUUAACUAGUUAACUGAGUGGUUUACAGUCUCAUCCGUUUUGUGGUUACUCAGUUCUACAGAUCUAGUUAGGAUGUUCACACUGGAGUCCGUAAUUGCUGAAGGCUCUCACUGUAGUGUAAUUCUGAAUUUGCUCAAACUGGUUGAGAAGUAAGCACAAUUAAUGUUAAAUAUGGGGUCUUGGUAGAAAACAUCCAAACUAGUAUUAUUCUUAAUUUAUCUUGGUUGCUUUUUAGACAGGUUCUUGUUUUGUAACUGAGGCGGGCCUGGAAUUCACAGUGUAGCUAAAGCUACUUUUUGAAUUCAUGAUCUCCCCAAGAAGUGUGCUACCACAUCCACAUUAAAGUAUUAAAUGGCAGUAUCAGUCUUGUAGCUGUGAUUCUGACCAGCAACACCAUUCUCCGAUCAACUUGCGUUCCUUUGCUUUUCUUUUUCCCGCCUUUCAUUUGUGAAGUGAAUCAGAACAUAAAAAAAAUUUUAACUAAUUUUUAAAAAUUUUAAGUAUCUGAGUAUUUUGCCUGUAUGCAUCAUGUGUGCUGUGGGCCUGGUGUUGAAGCAGGCCAUAGGAGGGCACAUGAUCCCUGGAACUGGAGUUCCAGAGGGUUGCAAGCUGCCGUGUGGGUGCUAGGACUCUUAACCUGGGUCCAGUACUCUUAACCCCUGAGCUGUCCAGUACUUAAAUUACAUGUAUAUAGUGGCUAUGUUCUACAUAGUUUAUAGAAGUUAAUUGUCUCCUCCUAUGUGGGUAUCAGAAGUGGAAGUCAUUAGACUUGGUGGGAAGUGCCUUUCUCUACUUCCUUCCAGACAGUAAAGUAAUUUUAAAAGUAUGGUAAAGUCUGUUAAGAUAUAAAUGUUACCCUUCCUAGAAACAUUAGUGUUUAGCAUGGUAUCCUUUAAAAAAUUUUGCUAUUAUUUGUGUGUGCGUGUGUGCGCAUGUGGUAACAUCUGGUGUACCUCUGGAGGUCAGAGGACAACUUUGUGGAGUCAUUCUAUCCAUCUACUUUAUGUGGAUUCUGGGGAUAGAACUUGAGUUGCCAGGCUUGUGCUGUAAGCACCUCUGUCCACUGAGCCAUUUUACUGCUCCAGCCUCCUGUCUAGAUUAUCAUGGAGGAAAUGAGUAUGUAACCAUAUAGCUGAAAUUCCAGUGUCAGCUUCUGUGUGUGGGUGUAGAGAUUUUGUAGUUUAUGUUUGGGCUUUUUAUAAUGUGGAUAGAACCCAGGCUACCACAAAUGGGAGGCAAGGACUAUACUUUUACUUGAUUUGCAUUUUAACAGUGAUUGUUAGUUAUAACAGACAAAAACAAG
rnacentral:lncRNA from 1 species